UACGGGGGGGGCAAGCGUUGUUCGGAAUUACUGGGCGUAAAGGGCUCGUAGGUGGCCAACUAAGUCAGACGUGAAAUCCCUCGGCUUAACCGGGGAACUGCGUCUGAUACUAUUUGUCUUGAAUACUGUGGAGGUUAGCGGAAUAUGUCAUGUAGCGGUGAAAUGCUUAGAUAUGACAUAGAACAUCAAUUGCGAAGGCAGCUGGCUACACAAAUAUUGACACUGAUGCACGAAAGCGUGGGGAUCAAACAGG
rnacentral:rRNA from 1 species